rnacentral:RNase_P_RNA from 2 species
UCAGUCGGCCGGGCGGCCGCUUCGAGCUCGUCUCGGAGAGGAAAGUCCGGGCUCCAUGGAAGCAAGGUGCCGGAUAACGUCCGGCGGGGGAAACCCUAGGGAAAGUGCCACAGAAAGCAGACCGCCCUGCAAAGGUCUUCGGACCUCCAGGGUCAGGGUGAAAGGGUGCGGUAAGAGCGCACCGCGGACGCAGCAAUGCGGACGGCAUGGUAAACCCCACCAGGAGCAAAACCGAAUAGGGACGACAGGCGUUCGCGCCAGGCCCGUUUCCAGGCCCGUCGUCCGGGUUGGUUGCUAGAGGCGGUCAGCAAUGAUCGUCCCAGAGGAAUGGUCGCCGCGUUCAAGGUUUUCUUAGACUUUGGGCCCUACAGAACCCGGCUUACAGGCCGGCUGACGCC